CAAACAUUCAAUCCAGCUUCCAAAGUCCCCAUAAUCUGUCAGUCUCCAACACCUUAAAAGUUCAGAAUUCAUAGUCUCUUCUGAGACUCAGGACAAUGUCCUAAUUGCAACCUUUCUAGAGAGAAAAUGAAGGUACAGGUCCCAUGCUUCUACCACACAUGGCCCAGGGGGUACAAUUGUGUUUCAAAAGGAAGGAAAGGGAGCAAAGUGAGGAAGUGUUGGAUCACAGACUAAACUCCAGCUGGGCAAACUGUAUCCUACAGGGACACUCUGCGCCCCAUUGUCACACAAGACCCCACAGAGGAAUCCUGUCCCACCUGACACUCAGCACAGGAAACACAGAUUCUGGAAGGUUCUCCAUCUGCCAUUCAUUUCCUCCUCAAUCCUCUGAGUGUUCUCAAUCCCUUAACUUCCCCACCAGUGAACUGCACAGGUCAAGGAGUUCACAUUCAGAGUCAGAUGUUCAGUGUGGAGGUGAGGAGAUGUAGCCCAGGGCACCCUGGAGCUGACAGCUUGCAGACACCCCAGUGUCUGUUGGACCAGGAAGGUUGACUGUGGAAGGGAUGACAGCCAGUGCAGGACAGAGUCCUGGUGCACUGGGUUGGGCUGGGGUCUCCAUGUCUUCCCAUUUUGUGCACA
rnacentral:lncRNA from 1 species